UACGUAGGGUGCAAGCGUUGUCCGGAAUUAUUGGGCGUAAAGAGCUCGUAGGCGGUCUGUCGCGUCGGCUGUGAAAACCCGGGGCUCAACCCCGGGCCUGCAGUCGAUACGGGCAGACUAGAGUGCGGUAGGGGAGACUGGAAUUCCUGGUGUAGCGGUGAAAUGCGUAGAGAUCGGGAGGAACACCAGUGGCGAAGGCGGCUACCUGGACCAGCACUGACACUGAAGCACGAAAGCGUGGGGAGCAAACAGG
rnacentral:rRNA from 1 species